rnacentral:rRNA from 1 species
UACGUAGGGUGCAAGCGUUGUCCGGAAUUAUUGGGCGUAAAGCGCUCGUAGGCGGUUUGUCGCGUCGGCUGUGAAAACUCGGGGCUCAACCCCGAGCCUGCAGUCGAUACGGGCAAACUUGAGUGCGGUAGGGGAGACUGGAAUUCCUGGUGUAGCGGUGAAAUGCGCAGAUAUCAGGAGGAACACCGGCGGCGAAGGAGGGUCUCUGGGCCGUAACUGACGCUGAGGAGCGAAAGCAUGGGGAGCGAACAGG